GGAGACUUUAUCAGGCUGAUUCAAAGAGAAGGACAGUUCAGGAGUCAAGAAAAUGUUCCAGGUGACAGCGAGAGCCAUGUAGGGUUUGCAGCAGUGGGUGACAGCAAAGUGCGGACUCAGACACACACAGACCCGACUGACUUCAACAAUAAUAUCUUCAGAACUGUCAACAAGCAUGAUUAUUUCUGAUCUCAGGGUUCAAGAUCGCUUCCUAAGAUGGUCGACAACAGCCUGCAACACCUCCUUCCUAAGAUGGUCUACAACAGCCUACAAUACCUCCAGUUCUGGGGUAUCUAAUGCCACUUUCUGGUUUUCACUUUUAUUUUCACACAAGUGGAACAUGCACACAUAUGCAAAAUGAAAAUAAAUCUUAAAAA
rnacentral:lncRNA from 1 species